AAUUACCACGCGUCAGCCGCGGUUCCUGUGUGCCGUCCACGCCCAGCUGAGACGAUCACGCAAUACGUUUUGUCGGCC
rnacentral:sRNA from 8 species